rnacentral:RNase_P_RNA from 1 species
AAUAGAAGGUAACCGAGCCACAAAGGUGGUUAGGAAAGUCCAUGCUAGCACACGCUGUGACGCGUGUAGUGUUUGUGCUUAGGGAAACAGUAACCUAAGGUACCUCUUGUAAGGUAACGGCGGCUCUUACACUAAAGUAUUUACGAUGUGUAAUCCUGAAGGUGCCACAGAGACGAGUUAAAAGGAAACUUUUAAGUGAAACGGGUAAACCCCACAAGCUAGAAACCCAAAUUAUGGUAGGGGCGCUUUAAAGGGAUAAAAAGAAUCCACGGAAAAGCUAGAUACGAAUCUAGAGAUAAAUGGUUACACCUCAUCAAUUGAGAGACAGAACAUGGCUUAUGCAU